AUUAAAUAACAUCAUGGAAUCAGAAUACUAGAACUGGAAGAGAUCAUAUAAUAUAUAGUCUAGUAGUUUUUCUGUUUGCUCCGUGCUUGGGGCAGGGAUGGGAGGAGGAGGAGCUUGGCAAGUUAUCUUCUCCUUCCGUGAAACAGAGCACUUUAAAGUGCUUACUUUCUUUAUCACUUACUUUCUCAUAUUGGCCUUCCAGGUAUAUGCUCGUAUGUCAGAAGUCUUAGGAAUAACAGAUGACAACCACGUUCUAGAAACAUUCAUGACAAAAAUAGUGAACACUUCCCUUUUCUUGGCAUCAGUGACAAUCAUAGUCUCAGCGACUUCAGGUGUCGAACAACCUUCUACACAGCGCUCACUCGCCUUCUGAUGGUAGAUCUAGGUGAAGAUGAGGAUGAAUUUGAGAAUUUCAUGCUGCCUCUUACAGUUGCUUUUGAAACAGUAUUACAAAUAUUCAACAACAACUUUAAACAAGAAGAUGUAAAGCGUAUGUUGAUCGGGCUGGCAAGAGAUCUUCGAGGGAUUGCCUUUGCACUGAACACAAAGACCAGCUACACCAUGCUGUUUGACUGGAUGUACCCAACGUACCUUCCCCUUCUUCAGAAUGCUGUUGAACGGUGGUAUGGAGAGCCAGCAUGUACAACUCCCAUCUUGAAACUUAUGGCAGAACUUAUGCAAAACAGAUCCCAGCGUUUGAAUUUUGAUGUAUCAUCUCCUAAUGGAAUUCUUCUCUUCAGAGAAGCUAGUAAAAUGGUUUGCACUUAUGGUAAUCAGAUCCUGUCCCUUGGGAGCCUCUCAAAAGAUCAGAUUUAUCCAAUGAAACUCAAGGGCAUCUCCAUCUGCUAUUCAGCUCUCAAGUCUGCCUUGUGUGGAAAUUAUGUCAGCUUUGGCGUCUUCAAGUUGUAUGGGGACAACCAUUUUGACAAUGUACUCCAGGCUUUUGUCAAAAUGCUGCUGUCAGUGUCCCACAGUGACUUGCUACAAUACCGGAAACUGAGCCAGUCUUAUUAUCCACUCCUGGAAUGUCUCACUCAGGACCAUAUGAGCUUCAUCAUCAACUUAGAGCCUCCUGUACUCAUGUAUGUUCUCACAUCUAUCUCAGAGGGACUCACUACUCUUGAUACAGUUGUCUCCUCCAGCUGCUGUACCAGUUUAGACUACAUCGUCACCUACCUCUUCAAGCACAUAGCAAAAGAGGGCAAGAAGCCACUUCGAUGCAGAGAGGCUACCCAGGCUGGUCAGAGACUAUUACAUUUUAUGCAGCAAAACCCAGAUGUCCUGCAGCAGAUGAUGUCUGUCCUCAUGAACACCAUUGUCUUUGAAGACUGUCGGAACCAGUGGUCAGUAUCCAGGCCUCUCCUGGGGCUCAUCCUGCUCAAUGAGAAGUAUUUCAGUGAACUGAGAGCAAGUUUGAUAAACAGCCAGCCCCUCCCCAAGCAGGAGGUCCUUGCCCAGUGCUUCAGAAACCUAAUGGAAGGAGUGGAGCAGAACCUGUCCGUCAAGAACAGAGACAGGUUCACCCAAAAUCUGUCUGUAUUCAGAAGAGAUGUGGCAGAGGCGUUGCGCAGUGAUGGCAACACUGAACCAUGCGGCCUCGACAUGAUGAGCUGACCCGACUUUUCUGACCAUGUGCGGAGCAGCCUUUGUCAAGAGACUCCUGAAGGUCUGGGUCUCAGGACAGUGAUGUUGGCUAGCCCAGGGGAAUGUAUUUUUCAAAACAUACAAGCAACAGCAAAAGCCCUAACUUCUUAUACAUCUAGCCUAAUUAUAAGAAUUUCUAACAGUACCAGUGUAAAUUCAGUCUUUUCUCUGAAAAGCAAAGGAUGUGUUUUCAGUCUUUCUAUCAAAUAUUAUCUUUGUUCUCCUAAUGCUCUGAAAGGAUGUAGAAACAAUAUUUAACCAAAGAACGUAAUAAACCAGGUUUGCACCU
rnacentral:sRNA from 1 species